UGCAGAGCCCAACUCGGGGCUCGAACCCACGAACCAUGAGAUCACGACCUGAGCCGAAGUCGGACGCUCAACGGACUGAGCCAUCCAGGCACCCCACGAUCUGUGUGCUUUAACUCAAGGAAGGCGGCCUCCAGCAUAGUUUCCUAGUUACUGCUUGGAUAAAUGGGGCACCGAUAGGCCUAUCUACAACCUUCCACACUAUGGCGAAAAAGCUGCUCAACUCACUCCCCCAUUUUUACUGUCCACUUCCUGUGGACGGCUUCCCUCAGCUUCGAGCCUGGAUCCAGUGCCCAGCAUAUGAAGACGCCUCCUCACCUGUGCUGAGCUGGGCCGGUGAGAGAACGACAGGGGUCUGAGCAGACCGUGCUGCCUCGCGCAAGCCUCUGCCGUUCUCGCCACCUCUGCACCUGCUCUCCUGACCCCUUAGGACCACAUCCUCCCAGGGGGCAGAGAGGGGCUCCGGCCGGGGAACGAGUCCCACCUCCCACCAUUGCGGUCCAAAGGUGCAUCACCUUUGCAGAGGAGAAAGCCGAGGCACCGUGAGGUUUGGUGACCUGCCCAAGGGACGCGCCCCCAGGUAAGCGAUGGGGGCUUUGUCUCCAGACGGUCUGGCCCUGCACAGCGUCACCUUCACAAAGAGAGGCCCGUCCUGCCCACCAUCCACUGUCGCGAGAGGACAACGGACGGGGAAGGAGGAGGCAACGGAGGUCCGGCCACCCACCUGGCUGCUGGGACCCGGCCUUUCAUCCUCGGAGCCUCCUGGUCCCCGCCCUGAGGGGCGGCAGAAACACAGCUGGAGUGAAGCUGUCACCGGCCCCCUUAAGUGAGUGUCCCCCAACCCAUCCAGAAACAGCCACGCCUGUCGCUGCGACGAAACGGGAAGUAUGUUUAGUAACAGAUCAGACGAUUCCCUCCAAAGUAGGGAAAAUAAUAUUAAAGUGGAGAGGCUUUCUUAUUAAGGGAGCCUACCUCACCUGCCCGGCUUGAAACUGUGCCCCUGUUGUCUCUGGAACAAAACCACACUCACGUCGGGGUUCCCGGCUUCCACAUUUCAGGGGCUGGGGGCACGGAAACAGCCUGAUGGAGUUUGGGGAAAUUACUCGCUUCCUGCGAGUUUUCCUUUACCCCAGACCCCAUAAACGGAUGGAUGCUGCUGGUGUUUGUUUUAACCAGACCGUCUGAGACCUGAAGACACACGGGCAGGUCUGGAUUUCACUGUCAUGAGCCUUUUUUGCAGACUCCUCUGAGGAGGGGCACAGCCGCUCCCGGGUGAAGCAGGGGCUGGGGGGGUCUCUGAACCCCAAGAUGGAGUGGCCCCCGAGUAGCGGCUGUUACUCGCCUGCGGCCCCCGUGUGGUCUGUGCUCUACAGGAAACGGGCACUCGUGAGCGUCUCUCCCAGCCGUCCUGCUUCUGGGGUCACAUUCACCCAGCCUCCAACGACCUUGCCUCAGAAACAGCCCUCCUGACAUUGGCCUCAUCCACAGCUGCUGCAAAAUUGAAGUUUAAACGAAAGGGGAAGGACACCUGCAGGGCUGGGGGCCGGGGAGCCUUUGAAGUGUGGGUGCCGAGCGCUUUGCCACCUUUCGGGUGGCAAAUGGGUUUUCCUUCAGAGAAAAUCAAAUCCUUUGAGAGGGUGCCUGACCAGAGAAGAUGGGGACCGAGGUGUGGGCCGCCGUUCCAGACGGGAACCAGCUCCCCGGGUAGUGACGCUCGGCCGAGGAAGCACUACCCAGCCCUGCCCGCCUCUGCUGACCCCCUCCCCCACGACCGUCCCCACACCGAGUGGACGGCUUUGCUGCAGAGCUGGCUGAGUGCACCCUCCUUGCAGCGUCCAAAUCGGAACGUGGCCUAUAGAUGCAGUGUUUGCCCAGGUCCCGGAGGUGCCCCGCAGGGUCUCCGCGGCACCUGGAGGCUGCGCGUCCAGCAGGCUUUUCCCCUACAGCCGGCCCAGUUCCGAUGACCCCCGGGAGCGGGGCAUCCUGAGGGCAGGCCCUCCCUCGGUCACGUGUCACGAGUGGCCGGACGAGGAGUAGAGAAACACCCACAGCCGUGGGGUGAGAGCACCCGAUCUGUGUUAUCACCUGUGCCAGCCACGUGUGGGUCUCUUUUCCCCUGGUGGCCCCUCGGGCGGACCCAGGAUGAGCCGGUGUCCCCGCUCCUCCCCGGGAGCACCUGCGGCCUCACCUGCAGACUCUCAGCACACCGCCCCCCCCCCAACCUUGGGGUCCGCACUUCCUGAAGGGCCUGAAGAGCCUGAAGGGCUGCGGGAAGACUGUGUUCGGCAGUAACCCUGGAGCGUCUGACUUCAUCUGACUUUCAGGACUCGUGAUGAGCGGUCCCCACCCCUGGGUGGUCUGAGCGGUGUGCCGAGAACCUGGGGUCUGGAGGGGACGCACUCGCUUCAGCGUGUCACGUCCCAGACCAGGCGCCGAGAAGAGAGCGGGACGGGCCUCCCCGGCUAGUGGUCUGGCUCCCGCUGGCUCCGGCCCCAGAGGACACAGCCUUGCCCCAUGUCACAUUUUGGGGUCUCUAGCCUGCCCCUCCCUUAGAGGAGGGGAGAGGACUGCGCGGGGUGGGGGGGGGGGCUGGACAGACCACAGUUGUACUGGGGCGACAGUGUCCCGCCCCCUCACGUCCUUCCCAGACCCUCAGGGGUCUUUGCACCUGUCGUUAGUCAUCCUGGAGCAGGGUGGCCCUGUAGACGUUGACCGGAGGAGAGGAGGACACAGAGACAUCCAGAGAGGAAGGCCACAUAACGAGGGAGGUGGAGGCCGGGCCGAGCAUCCACAAGCGGGGACCAGGGAGGCCUGCAGGCUCCCCCGGAGGCCCGAAGAGGCAGGGGGCCUCCCCUGCAGGUGCCAGCUUAGCCGGGAUCUAAGGCUGGGAGAGAGUCCACUUCUGCCGCUCAAGCCCCCGGCCUGUGGGACCCUGUUUCUGCAGACUCCGCAGGAGGAGGGGGGUGGGGCGUGGCAGGCCGGGUGGCAGCCAGGCCGGGGACACAGGAGCCCCCCUCCCGCUGCGAUGUCACGGUGCUGUUCCCGAUGCCCGUGUGUCCUCGUCCGUCUGCCCGUGUGUCCUCGUCCGUCUGCCCUGACGAGGGGGCCGGCAGGGCCCACGCGGGACCAGGGUGUGCUGGGCUGUGAGGGUGCGGGAAACUCCCUCCGCCCUUUCCUUCCGUCUGGUCCCAGCCCCCACCCAAGAACAUCCGCCUGGGCUGCUGCGUGUUCCAGAAGCUUCCGUGUGGGCUGCGGUGUGGCGAAGGCCGAGGGAGGGGAUGAGAGCCAGGCCUGGAAAGAAGCCGCUGCCUACACUCCCGGGACCCCGAGGGGUGGCCACGUGC